AUGAAGAACGCAGCGAAAUGCGAUACGUAGUGUGAAUUGCAGAAUUCCGCGAAUCAUCGAGUCUUUGAACGCAAGUUGCGCCCGAGGCUUGUCCGAGGGCAUUUCCGCUAGAGCGUCACCGCGCCCCCCCACCGAUCCACUCCCGGCGAGUCGGGUCGAGUGAAAGUGGCCAUCCCGGACGGAGGGCGAUGCCUUCCCCGAAGGGUUGGCUGAAAUGGAAGGAAUUAGGCCGCCGUGGUGACGCAGUCCGCGAUCGGGUGAUAGGAUCCGUGCUCCCCUCCGGGGUGAGUCCGGAUUUUUUCUAAGUGCGUGGCUGCGUCCCCCAGUCGGUCUUGGGUUACCUCAUGCAGGUCGAGCGCGCCCCCCCUCGUCGCUCCUUCGGGAGAGCGAGGCGGCGCGCGUCACGCAUCAGACCUCUAAUCGGAAAAGACUACCCGCUGAGUUUAAGCAUAUCAAUAAGCGGAGGA
rnacentral:rRNA from 1 species